CCUUGAUUUGGGGACGGCAGCAAAAUGCCGGUGACAAAUAAAAAAUUCUCCAGUCGUCAUGCUUUUGCAAAAGUUGUCCGAGGCUAUUUGGUUGGACCAAAUGAAGCAACCAUGUCAGUUCCCAGUCUGUCGACUCAGGUGGCUCGAUCAAUUAAACCCACCGAAAAUCGCGCGAGCCUUGCGCUUCGGCUAAUUUUGUUCACCGCAGCCAUUGAAAGAUAGCCAGAAGCUCUCCUUGUUUUCAACCCUCGGAAGCUUUUUGUAAUAAAUCCUUCACAAAUAAUUUAUAGUUUAUGUCGCAAUCAAAGCAGAAUUCGUAUAAAAUCUCUUCGAUGAACUGGUAAAUCUGGCGAUAAUUCACAAGAGUCGCCACGCUUACCCGCCGAUUGAGAGCCUUGGUUCUUUUGAAGCUACUUUUAAAGAGAGGUCUUGACGGUGAGCACUCUCACGCAUGCUCUGUCAUCUCCCUCCUUGGACAGUCUACGGCAAAGGUUUGACGCAUGCUCGAGAGAUCUAAAAGAUAUUUACAUACAGGAACCUGGUUAGUUUUUCUCAUAUUAUUCAGCAAAAACCCAUUUCUCUCUUUAUUUCUCUUCCUUUUUGUGCUCUUUUUUGCUGGAGGAUCAAUGGCUCCAAGAAAGGAAAGUGAACCGAAUGUUUCUGAAAAGACACAUUUCAAGUUGUUGGACAGAAGGGUUGAGAAAAAUGGGAUGAAAGAGCUGAAACACUUAGAGGCAGUGCUUAAAGCGCUUAUGAAACGGCAAGCAAAGCUGCAGGCAAAAGUGGACCGUCCUGGAGAACGUAAACCAACAAUGGAACAACUCAGAAAAGUGAAUGAUCAGCUGGCAAGGUUCAAUGCUUGGACCCAACAAUACAUUGAAACUAAGGUUGCUGACUCUGCUUAGGAGGCAUCAAACAAAGGCGUUUGACGGCUUCUGUCAUCCUCUCUCUAGAAACAUCUCUGGCGAGAAGAAUAAUCAAAUAAAGAAGUAGCGAAGUUUGGUCCCAUUGGUGUGAAAUUUGUACUGUGUUUGCUUGUCUGUUGCAAGUUGCAAUAUGAAAUAUGUGAAGCACAAUACGACUGUGCUUGCUUGUCUGUCGUACUGUGCUUGCUUGUCUGUUGUACUUUUAUUUUGAUCGAACUUUUAAUAAUGGUGUGGCUUAGAUUCUCUUUUGCCUUGUUACAUUGCACGUUUAUAACUUGGUUUUUUUUUUUUUAUCUUGAUUGAAUAUCUAUUAUGACUUGGUUAAAUAUCUUUGAUAAGCCACAUGAGAAAGAUAGGUAAACUAUUAUCUAAACAAAAACCAAGUCCCCCUCAUGAUGAUUGACUCUCUACAUUCCUCAUGAUGAAGAGUCUAAAGACUUGAAGGCCAAGAUUGUUAAUGAAUUGAACGGGUGGGUAGU